AUUGAACGCUGGUGGCAGGCUUAACACAUGCAAGUCGAGCGGAGAUGAGGUGCUUGCACCUUAUCUUAGCGGCGGACGGGUGAGUAAUGCUUAGGAAUCUGCCUAUUAGUGGGGGACAACAUUCCGUAAGGAAUGCUAAUACCGCAUACGUCCUACGGGAGAAAGCAGGGGAUCUUCGGACCUUGCGCUAAUAGAUGAGCCUAAGUCGGAUUAGCUAGUUGGUGGGGUAAAGGCCUACCAAGGCGACGAUCUGUAGCGGGUCUGAGAGGAUGAUCCGCCACACUGGGACUGAGACACGGCCCAGACUCCUACGGGAGGCAGCAGUGGGGAAUAUUGGACAAUGGGGGGAACCCUGAUCCAGCCAUGCCGCGUGUGUGAAGAAGGCCUUAUGGUUGUAAAGCACUUUAAGCGAGGAGGAGGCUACUGAGACUAAUACUCUUGGAUAGUGGACGUUACUCGCAGAAUAAGCACCGGCUAACUCUGUGCCAGCCGCCGCCGUAAAAC
rnacentral:rRNA from 1 species